rnacentral:rRNA from 1 species
AACGAACGCUGGCGGCAUGCCUAACACAUGCAAGUCGAACGAGACCUUCGGGUUUAGUGGCGCACGGGUGCGUAACGCGUGGGAACCUGCCCUUAGGUUCGGAAUAACUCCCCGAAAGGGGUGCUAAUACCGGAUAAUGUCUCCGGACCAAAGAUUUAUCGCUUUUGGAUGGGCCCGCGUUGGAUUAGCUAGUUGGUAGGGUAAAAGCCUACCAAGGCUACGAUCCAUAGCUGGUCUGAGAGGAUGAUCAGCCACACUGGGACUGAGACACGGCCCAGACUCCUACCGGAGGCAGCAGUAUGGAAUAUUGGACAAUGAGCGAAAGCCUGAUCCAGCAAUGCCGCGUGAGUGAUGAAGGACUUAGGGUUGUAAAGCUCUUUUACCCGAGAUGAUAAUGACAGUACCGAGAGAAUAAGCUCCGGCUAACUCCGUG